UACGGGAGGCAGCAGUGGGGAAUAUUGCACAAUGGGCGAAAGCCUGAUGCAGCUAUGCCGCGUGUAUGAAGAAGGCCUUAGGGUUGUAAAGUACUUUCAUCGGGGAGGAAAAACAAAACUAAUAAUUUUAUUUCUUGACGUUACCCGAAAAAGAAGCACCGGCUAACUCCGUGCCAGCAGCCGCGGUAAUACGGAGGGUGCUAGCGUUAAUCAGAAUUACUGGGCGUAAAGAGCACGUAGGUGGUUUUUUUAAGUUCAGAUGUGAAAUCCCUGGGCUUAACCUAGGAACUGCAUUUUGAAACUGAAAUACUAGAGUAUCGUAGAGGGAGGUAGAAUUCUAGGUGUAGCGGUGAAAUGCGUAGAUAUCUGGAGGAAUACCUGUGGCGAAAGCGGCCUCCUAAACGAAUACUGACACUGAGGUGCGAAAGCGUGGGGAGCAAACAGGGAUUAGAUACC
rnacentral:rRNA from 1 species